rnacentral:rRNA from 1 species
UACGUAGGGUGCAAGCGUUAUCCGGAAUUAUUGGGCGUAAAGCGCGCGUAGGCGGCAUGAUAAGUCAGUUGUAAAACCCCUCAGCUCAACUGAGGUUUUGGCAAUUGAUACUAUUUUGCUAGAGAGCAGUAGAGGAAAGCGGAACUUCCAGUGUAGCGGUGAAAUGCGUAGAUAUUGGAAGGAACACCAAUGGCGAAGGCAGCUUUCUGGACUGUUUCUGACGCUGAGGCGCGAAAGCUAGGGGA